GACGAACGCUGGCGGCGUGCCUAAUACAUGCAAGUCGAGCGAAGUUUUUCUGGUGCUUGCACUAGAAAAACUUAGCGGCGAACGGGUGAGUAACACGUAAAGAACCUGCCUCAUAGACUGGGACAACUAUGGGAAACGAUAGCUAAUACCGGAUAACAGCAUUAACUGCAUGGUUGAUGUUUAAAAGUUGGUUUUGCUAACACUAUGAGAUGGCUUUGCGGUGCAUUAGCUAGUUGGUGGGGUAAAGGCCUACCAAGGCGACGAUGCAUAGCCAACCUGAGAGGGUGAUCGGCCACACUGGGACUGAGACACGGCCCAAACUCCUACGGGAGGCAGCAGUAUGGAAUCUUCCGCAAUGGGCGAAAGCCUGACGGAGCAACGCCGCGUGAGUGAAGAAGGAUUUCGGUUCGUAAAGCUCUGUUGUUAGGGAAGAAUGAUUGGGUAUUAACUAUACACAGUGAGACGGUUCUUAACCGUAAAUGCCCGGCUUUUACUGGCCAGCUGCCCUUGUAAUACUUGUGUGUCUUGCUUUGUUGGGAAUUUUGUGGUGUUUGGUGUUUGAGGUGUUUUUAUAAUGGUAUUUGAAAGCCUGCGUCUCAUCGUGUGAGUGUUGUGGAAAUUGUUGAUUUGUGUGGAGUAGAGAAAUUGGAAUUGUAUUUUUGGUGAUUGUUUUUAUGUUUGUUGAUGUGUGUGGUAAAGUGGCUUUUGCCCUGUAGUUGGGGUGUGCUG
rnacentral:rRNA from 1 species